rnacentral:rRNA from 1 species
AGCGAACGCUGGCGGCAGGCCUAACACAUGCCAGUCGAACGAACCUUUCGGGGUUAGUGGCGGACGGGUGAGUAACACGUGGGAACGUGCCUUUAGGUUCGGAAUAACUCAGGGAAACUUGUGCUAAUACCAAAUGUGCCCUUCGGGGGAAAGAUUAAUCGCCUUUAGAGCGGCCCGCGUCUGAUUAGCUAGUUGGUUGAGGUAAUGGCUCACCAAGGCGACGAUCAGUAGCUGGUCUGAGAGGAUGAUCAGCCACAUUGGGACUGAGACACGGCCCAAACUCCUACGGGAGGCAGCAGUGGGGAAUCUUGCGCAAUGGGCGAAAGCCUGACGCAGCCAUGCCGCGUGAAUGAUGAAGGUCUUAGGAUUGUAAAAUUCUUUCACCGGGGACGAUAAUGACGGUACCCGGAGAAGAAGCCCCGGCUAACUUCGUG